UGGUUCGAAGCAUUGGCAAAAUACAUAGUCUAAUUUUGCUGUGGUGUCUAAACGCAGUAACGUAAAAUCUAACUAGACUAGUCUCUAGCACCCUGCUCUUCGGGUCACUAAGGCGAAACACAAAGAGUGAGCUAAGCAUGUAGAAGUCAGGUUGAAGAACUAACGGACGCGGGUUCAAUUCCCGCCGCCUCCACCA
rnacentral:tmRNA from 1 species